rnacentral:rRNA from 1 species
UGGGAACCUUCCCUAUGGUUCGGAAUAGCUCAGGGAAACUUGGGGUAAUACCGGAUAAGCCCUUCGGGGAAAGAUUUAUCGCCAUUGGAUGGGCCCGCGUCGGAUUAGCUAGUUGGUGAGGUAACGGCUCACCAAGGCAACGAUCCGCAGCUGGUCUGAGAGGAUGAUCAGCCACACUGGGACUGAGACACGGCCCUGACUCCUACGGGAGGCAG